GAUGAACGCUAGCGGCGGGCUUAAUACAUGCAAGUCGAGGGGUAGCAAUACACCGGCGCACGGGUGCGUAACGCGUAUGCAACCUACCUUUAUCUGGGGGAUAGCCCGGGGAAACCCGGAUUAAUACCGCAUAACAAAUUGAUUGGCAUCAAUUGAUUUUAAAAGAUUUAUCGGAUAGAGAUGGGCAUGCGUAAGAUUAGAUAGUUGGCGAGGUAACGGCUCACCAAGUCUACGAUCUUUAGGGGCUCUGAGAGGAGAAUCCCCCACACUGGCACUGGGAUACGGGCCAGACUCCUACGGGAGGCAGCAGUAGGGAAUAUUGGGCAAUGGGCGCAAGCCUGACCCAGCCACGCCGCGUGCAGGAAGACGGCCCUCUGGGUUGUAAACUGCUUUUGACUGGGAAGAAAAGACUCCUUGCGAGGAGAGUUGACGGUACCAGCAGAAUAAGCCACGGCUAACUACGUGCCAGCCGCCGCAGUAACAC
rnacentral:rRNA from 1 species